UCUUAUGUACAUGUCUAUAGCGUUAAUGCACCAUAUCCCAUUAUAACUUUGUAGUUAAGCGCACUUGGGAUAGGGUAGUACUAAGAUGGGUGAUCACCCGAGAAUUCAUAGUGUUUUACAUGCC
rnacentral:rRNA from 1 species